rnacentral:rRNA from 1 species
AUUGAACGCUGGCGGCAGGCCUAACACAUGCAAGUCGAGCGGAUGAAGGGAGCUUGCUCCUGGAUUCAGCGGCGGACGGGUGAGUAAUGCCUAGGAAUCUGCCUGGUAGUGGGGGAUAACGUCCGGAAACGGGCGCUAAUACCGCAUACGUCCUGAGGGAGAAAGUGGGGGAUCUUCGGACCUCACGCUAUCAGAUGAGCCUAGGUCGGAUUAGCUAGUUGGUGGGGUAAAGGCCUACCAAGGCGACGAUCCGUAACUGGUCUGAGAGGAUGAUCAGUCACACUGGAACUGAGACACGGUCCAGACUCCUACGGGAGGCAGCAGUGGGGAAUAUUGGACAAUGGGCGAAAGCCUGAUCCAGCCAUGCCGCGUGUGUGAAGAAGGUCUUCGGAUUGUAAAACACUUUAAGUUGGGAGGAAGGGCAGUAAGUUAAUACCUUGCUGUUUUGACGUUACCAAAAGAAUAAGCACCGGCUAACUUCGUG